GACGAACGCUGGCGGCGUGCCUAACACAUGCAAGUCGAGCGAAUGAAGUUCCUUCGGGAAUGGAUUUAGCGGCGGACGGGUGAGUAACACGUGGGCAACCUGCCUCAUAGAGGGGAAUAGCCUUCCGAAAGGGAGAUUAAUACCGCAUAAGAUUGUAGUAUCGCAUGAUACAGCAAUUAAAAGAGCAAUCCGCUAUGAGAUGGGCCCGCGGCGCAUUAGCUAGUUGGUGAGGUAACGGCUCACCAAGGCGACGAUGCGUAGCCGACCUGAGAGGGUGAUCGGCCACAUUGGGACUGAGACACGGCCCAGACUCCUACGGGAGGCAGCAGUGGGGAAUAUUGCACAAUGGGGGAAACCCUGAUGCAGCAACGCCGCGUGAGUGAUGACGGCCUUCGGGUUGUAAAGCUCUGUCUUCAGGGACGAUAAUGACGGUACCUGAGGAGGAAGCCACGGCUAACUACGUG
rnacentral:rRNA from 1 species